GGCAGUAUAUUUUAUAUACAUUUUAUUUUACAAUUUUGUUGCAGGUACAUAAGAUUUAUAAAGGUGAAAUGUGCAAGAAAUAAUAUAUUUACAAAAGUGAAUUUGGGAAACUUGCCAACUGGGGAGCGCGCAUUGCGCCGCGUUGUUUGCUGUUGUAGUUGUUGUUGCUGCUGCCGUUGCUGCGGCUGUUGCUGCUGCUGCUGCUGCCGCCGCUGUGUUGGGUGCUUGUGGUGCGAUUGCUAUGUCUAGAGGACGCGUUGCCUAUCCUAAAUUGUUUACUUUUAUUUCUACUGCUCUGCUUACGGCUACUGCCACUAUUGUGUCUACUUUGAUAUUCGCUACUUUUACUAGAAUUAUAUUGUUGCUGUUGCUGCUGCUGCUGUUGCUGCUGUGAUGAUGAGUAUGACGAUUGAGAUUGAUUGGUUGUGUAUCUCAUGCUGCCUCUAAAACUAUUUUUGGUCAUUUUAUUGUAGUUGGUUGGUGCGGUGCUAUCUACGAUUCUGUUGUUGUUGAUGUUGUUGUUGAUGUGCUUGCUUUUAUCUAUGUUGCUGCUGCUGCUGCUGCUGCUGUUGAUGUUGAUGUUGCUUUUGUUUUGUGCCAGAAACUGUCGCUGUCUGCCGCCUCGUUGCCGAUUCACUGCCUCCGCCGCCGUUGUGUGUGCUGUCCCAAUCUUAUACUCAUCAUCAGCCUUAUAUCAUACCUCAUCCUGCUGCUGCAGCUGCUGGCUGCGCUCUGGUAUGCGAUAAAGCUCAUCGUUGUUCUGAUACAACUGCUCGGAGCCGGCGCAGUUCACGUUCGACCACCAAUCGCAGACGCGUACAGCCUGAUUGAAGACGGUGCCAUUGGGACAGAGGAAGGAGUAUUGGUGUCCAGAGUGCAAACACCAGUGCCAGACCUUGGGAACGUAUAAUGUGUUUGGUAUAUUAUCCAAAACUGGUUUCUUAACGAAAAACUUGAAUGCAAUCCAUAGAGUUAAGAAUGAUAUCCAGAUAUUUGUCUAUGGAAUCCACCUCAUUCGUCCCUUGGAUAUGCUCUGCCUAUUGUUAUGGAUAGCUUUCCCCUUUUGACUCACCUGACACCUUGUCUCGGUAUCCGCAUAGUAGCCCGGCUGACGUCCUUGGCAGUUGAAGGACAAGCCCUUGGGCACCGCAUCGUAGACUGGAUAAUCCUCGCCAGCUAUGUAGCCAUCAAUUUGCUGCAAUUGAAGCGAAAAUGAGAUGCGGCUUUCAAGUACAAACAUUGCAUGGGAAUGUGAAUUAUCUCAUCGAGUGCAACCGAGCUGCAUGUGACCUUCGUUUGGGUGUUUCAUUUGGAGCCCGCUGAUUGCUCAAGCAGGGCACAUUUAAAUCAUGGCAAAACAACAGCAAAAUGAUGUCUAAACAAUAACAAAUUACGAGCCUGAAACAAUUGCCACACAAAAUUUUGGUACACGCGAAAAAAAAAUCAAGAGAAACAGAAACACAACCGAAAUUUGAAAUGCAAAUGCAUCAACCGAAAAAUCUGUCGAAAAGCCAGCAAAAAAUAUUUAGAAAAAAAAACAACUUGGCUAGAGAUCAACAAAAGAAUCAGGCGUGUGACGAAAAUCGUUUGGUAUGGAUUCCAACUCUAUAGAUGGACUCUUUUUGACGGCUGUGGGCUGUUAAUGAUGCCAAAAGGCAAAUCUUUAAUUUUUUCAUUUGAGGUUAUGCUGACAAGCAGUGUUGUAAAGCGAACAA